rnacentral:rRNA from 1 species
AUUGAACGCUGGCGGAAUGCUUUACACAUGCAAGUCGAACGGCAGCACGGGGGCAACCCUGGUGGCGAGUGGCGAACGGGUGAGUAAUACAUCGGAACGUGCCCAAUCGUGGGGGAUAACUACGCGAAAGCGUAGCUAAUACCGCAUACGAUCUACGGAUGAAAGCGGGGGAUCGCAAGACCUCGCGCGAAUGGAGCGGCCGAUGGCAGAUUAGGUAGUUGGUGGGGUAAAGGCUCACCAAGCCGUCGAUCUGUAGCUGGUCUGAGAGGACGACCAGCCACACCUGGGACUGAGACACGGCCCAGACUCCUACGGGAGGCAGCAGUGGGGAAUUUUGGACAAUGGGCGCAAGCCUGAUCCAGCCAUUCCGCGUGCAGGAUGAAGGGCCCUCGGGUUGUAAACUGCUUUUGUUACGGAACGAAAAGGCCUGAGUUAAUACCUCGGGCUCAUGACGGUACGUAAGAAUAAGC